rnacentral:rRNA from 1 species
UACGGGGGGGGCAAGCGUUGUUCGGAAUUACUGGGCGUAAAGGGCUCGUAGGCGGCCCACUAAGUCGGAUGUGAAAUCCCCAGGCUCAACCUGGGAACUGCAUCCGAUACUGGAUGGCUUGAAUCCGGGAGAGGGAUGCAGAAUUCCAGGUGUAGCGGUGAAAUGCGUAGAUAUCUGGAGGAAUACCGGUGGCGAAGGCGGCAUCCUGGACCGGCAUUGACGCUGAGGAGCGAAAGCCAGGGGAGCAAACGGG